UGUCCAGACUCCUACGGGAGGCAGCAGUAGGGAAUCUUCCACAAUGGGCGAAAGCCUGAUGGAGCAACGCCGCGUGGGUGAAGAAGGUCUUCGGAUCGUAAAACCCUGUUGUUAGAGAAGAAAGUGCGUGAGAGUAACUGUUCACGUUUCGACGGUAUCUAACCAGAAAGCCACGGCUAACUACGUGCCAGCAGCCGCGGUAAUACGUAGGUGGCAAGCGUUAUCCGGAUUUAUUGGGCGUAAAGGGAACGCAGGCGGUCUUUUAAGUCUGAUGUGAAAGCCUUCGGCUUAACCGGAGUAGUGCAUUGGAAACUGGGAGACUUGAGUGCAGAAGAGGAGAGUGGAACUCCAUGUGUAGCGGUGAAAUGCGUAGAUAUAUGGAAGAACACCAGUGGCGAAGGCGGCCGCCUGGCCUGUUGCUGACGCUGAGGCACGAAAGCGUGGGGAGCAAAUAGGAUUAGAUACCCUCGUAU
rnacentral:rRNA from 1 species